UAUAUAUAUAUAUGUACUUAUAUGUACUUGUAUUUAUAGUAUAGUGUAGAUAUAUGUGGAGAUAUGUAGAGAUAUAUGAUGAAACUCAGCUAUGCUUAUCUAUAGCAUAAAUGGGGACUCGAACUUCGGACUCGCACAUACAGUGAUUUCAGACUCAAACAGACUUUAGGCACUCAAUAAAUUUUAGACAACUCGCGAUUUGAGACUUGUGAACUAUUUUUUAUUUUUAAUUAGGCCCAAGCAGGUAGGCCUGCAAGGGCCUAUUGUAAUUGCUCCGUUUAUUCAUUUAUUGUUCAGGCGACAAAUGAAUUGCCUUUUUUGCGGCUUUAACAUAUUCAAAAACUCACCAAACUACCCAAAAUUGUCUCCCUAGUGAAAUUUAAGGUUUUUAA